GAUGAAGAACGUAGCGAAAUGCGAUAAGUAAUGUGAAUUGCAGAAUUCCGUGAAUCAUCGAGUCUUUGAACGCACAUUGCGCCCCCUGGUAUUCCGGGGGGCAUGCCUGUCCGAGCGUCAUUGCUGCCCUCAAGCACGGCUUGUGUGUUGGGCUCCGUCCCCCCGGGGACGGGUCCGAAAGGCAGCGGCGGCACCGAGUCCGGUCCUCGAGCGUAUGGGGCUUUGUCACCCGCUCUGUAGGCCCGGCCGGCGCCAGCCGACAACCAAUCAUCCUUUUUUCAGGUUGACCUCGGAUCAGGUAGGGAUACCCGCUGAACUUAAGCAUAUCAAUAAGCGGAGGA
rnacentral:misc_RNA from 1 species